AGUCACUACCCCCCCCCCCCUCCCAGAGCCCAUCCAUCCCUCUGCAUCCCAAGGCCUCAACAUGUUGGACAUUUUCCUGCUGAUGUUCUUUGCCAUCAUAGGACUGGUUGUGCUCUCCUACAUCAUCUACGUACUGUGAGGCUGGCGCGGGGGGGCAUUAACCCUUCAUCCCAGCCAGAUGGAUAUCGAGCAUCGUCUGAAACAUGAAACCUCCUGGAAUGUAAAAGGGGUCAGUAUUUCCAAAGAAAAGAAUGAUCUCUGAACUAUGGAAGAGCAGGAGAUGUCGGUAUGAUGUUGGGCAUCAGGAGAGCACAACAAGAUGGCCGCCAGACUUCUGAUACAUUUGUUCUCUACAUGCUGUGGCUUGGCAAAGGCAUUAGAAUCAUGUAGACAGCAAUUUACUUAUUCUAUGAAAACAAGUGCCAGAUUUCUUAUUUUAAGGAUGUCAGUCCUGACUUCAAAUAAAAGAGUUGUCAUUUAAGAGAGCAGUCUGCA